AGAAGAGGUAGAAGCAGCUGGCAAGCGAGAAUUGUUUCCUAACAUUUGAGGCCGAGAAGGAUUCUCGUUUGUAAAACACUGAACUGAGAUGUCACCGUUGUUCCGUUAUAGCCGUUGGCUUUCGAGCUUCAAAAACCCGCAAUCCCAAAAGAAGCAACUUCUGGCAUUCUCCGCCUUCUCCUCCGAAGCAGCCAAUGAGAAACCCAGACCUCCUCCGAUCCGUGUCGGACUUACUGAGUCGGCGGGUCGAGGCGUGUUCGCUACCCGAAGAAUCGGUGCCGGAGACCUCAUACACACUGCCAAACCGAUUGUGGCUCACCCUUCUCUGUCUGGUAUUAAUACUGUCUGUUAUUUUUGCCUCAAGAAGCUGAAUUUAACGGAUUUUAAAAGCCAUAGCGUUGCGUUUUGCAGUUCAGAGUGCGAAGUGAAUGCCAAGGUGUUUUAUGAUGUAGAGACAAAAGAAGAUUGGCAAGCUUUUGAUGACUAUUGCCGGACCCAAGGUCUAAAGUAUCCACUUCUGGUAAAACGGUUGGCUUGUAUGGUUAUAUCUGGAGCUGCAUCUGCUGAAAGUCUUGACAUACUUCAACCAGCUAGUUUAUCUCGUGAUAUGAUUUUAGAGGUGAGAACCUUACAUAAAUCUUUGUUAAAGUGAUGUUGGAAACAAACUUUUAUCAGGAGUAACAAUUGCCAUGUCCUUUCUACCUUCCUUUUCUUUGUCACCCAACAUGCCCUUUGUUUAUGCUUGAUUAGAUUUCUUUAAUACCAAGGUUGUAGGUUCAAUGUACGGAAACAGUUCAAUGCGAUACAAGAGAGAGGAUGUGUAGAUCUAACCUUUCUAUUGGUACAUUUUGUUUGCCUUGCAUGUUACUAUUAGCAGUACUUUACCCAUUUCUUUCCCCCUUUUUGUCACUGUUGUCAAGCCACUUCUAUGAAAAUAGGGGUCUUGAUAUGAGUUUUGUCAUGGAAUAGGAUGUGUGUUAAAAAUGACCAUUGCAAUUAUAUACUUUUGUUUAGUGUCAUUUUACAGAUGGAAGAAGGCUUUGGUUUGCUGAGGAGUGGCUUUGUCAAGGCAAAUAUUGCAGAUGAACUGAUAGCAUGUAUCCUCCACAUGACAUUGAUUUACAUUAUAUGUUUUUAAUUUAAUUAGCUGUUAGCUUGGAAGUUUUGAGAGAGUUGUCUUUGACUAUAUAAGUCUUAACCAAGCAAUGGUACAUUAAUAUGCUGGCACGCAUUCGUAUCAAUGCAUUUCGUAUUGAAUUGGCUGUAGGAUUACAUGAAGAUCUUUUGUCAUCAGCUGCUGCCUGUAUAGAGGCUGAAGUUGCUGUUGGAAAUGCUGUUUAUAUGCUUCCAUCCUUUUACAAUCACGACUGUGAUCCUAAUACACACAUUAUAUGGAUAGAGAAUGCAGAUGCAAGAUUGAAGGCCCUUCGAGAUAUUGAAGCGGGUUUGUCUCUUGAAAUGCUGGAUUUUCAGAUUUUCUCUUUCUUUGAUGUCCUUUUUUCUUCCAUAUGCAAGUCUUUUUUUCUUUGCUAUUAGGGAGUAGCAUAGUAGGACAGUUGUUAGAGUAAUUCCUUAGUGCCACUUUUGCAUCGCAUGUUCACAAGAGGCUUUUCAUACAGAAAUUUGACAUGACAAUUUUUGUUGACAUGCAUACUCACAUGCACAGAUAUAUAAAGUAUCACAAAACUUAACUAGCUUUCUAUCACAAAGCUUUUUGUAAUGCUAUACAUCUUGGCAAUUGUUUCCAAUUAUAAGGUGCUUGUCUGCUAGGAGUCCAUUUGUUCAGGACAUGGAAAAUGAGCUAUGAAGGCUGUUGGUGGCACCACAACAAUAUGCUCUAUGCUAUUAUGUGUGACAAUAGGAUGUAUCUAGAUGAAAUUUUCUCCUCUGGCACAUCAAGAAAUCAUUUUGCUCCUCUCAGUUAAUGUUGCACCAGAAAACUAAUAAAAAUCAAGCUUCAACUGCUGAAUUGUUUCUACUUUCCAAAACAUUUUAGGGAGUCGGUAUUCUGCUUGCUUAUUGGAAAAUGGUCAUAAGAAAAGCCAUCAGAAAAUUGCUUAGAACAGUGAUAACUAGGCUUAACUCACCUUUGGUUAUUAGACUUGUCACCAGUUCUCCAUAUGGACGCUUGACUUCAAUUUAUCAAAUAAAAAUCAUUAAACUUUAUGAACUAACUAAGUUACUGGUGCUAGAUUCCAGCAAAGCUGUGUUUUGAAAUCUGACAUGGCAUCUGUGCCACUAUAUCUCAAUUUGACUGCUCAGAGAACACUAAUGGGCCAUCUUAAAUCCAGAGUUUCUGUUCUUUCUCUUCCAACUCUCUCCUCUCUCCGUUAUCUCUCUACUCUCUCUUUAAUAGGCCCAACCAUAAAUAGCCUUCUAUCUCUCUCUUUUCCCCUUGUUAUCUCUCACAAUAUGUAUUCAAUCAUGAAACUGUGGGUUCCAUUUAAAAUUUAACUUUUAAAAUUUAUUUUUAAAUCAAAUAUAAAAUGAAAGUUGCUUCCUCUUUACAUGGUACUUCGGGCUAAAAGAUUAGGUAGGUAUGAAUGAGAGAGUAAGACCCAAGCUAAAACCUAGGAAAGUUGGCAUCUGUAUAGCAUUUUCAACAAAAUUUAGAGACAAUUUUUGUGUACUUGAGGUGGUUUCUUGGAUUAUCUGUAGAUGCUGGGUAAGCAUGCCACUCAGUCUGCAGAAUUACUGACUUUCUUUUUUUU
rnacentral:misc_RNA from 1 species